rnacentral:rRNA from 1 species
AAAGGGUGAUAGCCCCGUACACUAAAAUGCACAGGUCGUGAGUUCGAUGAGUAGGGCGGGACACGUGACAUCCUGUCUGAAUAUGGGGGGACCAUCCUCCAAGGCUAAAUACUCCUGACUGACCGAUAGUGAACCAGUACCGUGAGGGAAAGGCGAAAAGAACCCCGGCGAGGGGAGUGAAAUAGAACCUGAAACCGUGUACGUACAAGCAGUGGGAGCACCUUCGUGGUGUGACUGCGUACCUUUUGUAUAAUGGGUCAGCGACUUAUAUUUUGUAGCAAGGUUAACCGUAUAGGGGAGCCGUAGGGAAACCGAGUCUUAACUGGGCGAAUAGUUGCAAGGUAUAGACCCGAAACCCGGUGAUCUAGCCAUGGGCAGGUUGAAGGUUGGGUAACACUAACUGGAGGACCGAACCGACUAAUGUUGAAAAAUUAGCGGAUGACUUGUGGCUGGGGGUGAAAGGCCAAUCAAACCGGGAGAUAGCUGGUUCUCCCCGAAAGCUAUUUAGGUAGCGCCUCGUGAACUCAUCUUCGGGGGUAGAGCACUGUUUCGGCUAGGGGGCCAUCCCGGCUUACCAAACCGAUGCAAACUCCGAAUACCGAAGAAUGUUAUCACGGGAGACACACGGCGGGUGCUAACGUCCGUCGUGAAGAGGGAAACAACCCAGACCGCCAGCUAAGGUCCCAAAGUCAUGGUUAAGUGGGAAACGAUGUGGGAAGGCAUAGACAGCCAGGAUGUUGGCUUAGAAGCAGCCAUCAUUUAAAGAAAGCGUAAUAGCUCACUGGUCGAGUCGGCCUGCGCGGAAGAUGUAACGGGGCUAAACCAUGCACCGAAGCUGCGGCAGCGACGCUUAGGCGUUGUUGGGUAGGGGAGCGUUCUGUAAGCCGUUGAAGGUGGCCUGUGAGGGUUGCUGGAGGUAUCAGAAGUGCGAAUGCUGACAUAAGUAACGAUAAAGCGGGUGAAAAGCCCGCUCGCCGGAAGACCAAGGGUUCCUGUCCAACGUUAAUCGGGGCAGGGUGAGUCGACCCCUAAGGCGAGGCUGAAAAGCGUAGUCGAUGGGAAACAGGUUAAUAUUCCUGUACUUGGUGUUACUGCGAAGGGGGGACGGAGAAGGCUAGGCUAGCCGGGCGACGGUUGUCCCGGUUUAAGCGUGUAGGGGGUGUGACCUGGUAAAUCCGGUU